rnacentral:rRNA from 1 species
AUUGAACGCUGGCGGCAGGCCUAACACAUGCAAGUCGAGCGGUAACAGGAGAAAGCUUGCUUUCUUGCUGACGAGCGGCGGACGGGUGAGUAAUGUAUGGGGAUCUGCCCGAUAGAGGGGGAUAACUACUGGAAACGGUGGCUAAUACCGCAUAAUGUCUACGGACCAAAGCAGGGGCUCUUCGGACCUUGCACUAUCGGAUGAACCCAUAUGGGAUUAGCUAGUAGGUGGGGUAAAGGCUCACCUAGGCGACGAUCUCUAGCUGGUCUGAGAGGAUGAUCAGCCACACUGGGACUGAGACACGGCCCAGACUCCUACGGGAGGCAGCAGUGGGGAAUAUUGCACAAUGGGCGCAAGCCUGAUGCAGCCAUGCCGCGUGUAUGAAGAAGGCCUUAGGGUUGUAAAGUACUUUCAGCGGGGAGGAAGGUGAUAAGGUUAAUACCCUUAUCAAUUGACGUACCCGCAGAAGAGCACC